rnacentral:tRNA from 1 species
CGGGGCGUAGCGCAGUCCGGUUAGCGCACCAGCAUGGGGGGCUGGGGGUCGUCGGUUCGAAUCCGACCGCCCCGA